rfam:Aquimarina sp. RZW4-3-2 contig10, whole genome shotgun sequence.
CAACCUCUGGCGAAAAUCGUGAAUAUGUUG